AGUUUGAUUAUGGCUCAGAACGAACGCUGGUGGCGUGUCUUAUACAUGCAAGUCGAGCGAGGCAGCAAUGCCGAGCGGCGAACGGGUGAGUAACGCGUAAGCAAUCUGCCCCAUAUCAGGAAAUACCCGUGCCAACGCGCGGUUAAUGUCCAGGAGAGUGGCUCCUCUGCAUGGAGGGUUGACUAGAGAUUUAUCGGUAUGGGAUGAGCUUGCGUCCGAUUAGCUAGUUGGCGGGCAACGGCCCACCAAGGCGACGAUCGGUAGCCGGCCUGAGAGGGUGAUCGGCCACAUUGGGACUGAGAUACGGCCCAGACUCCUACGGGAGGCAGCAGUAGGGAAUAUUGCACAAUGGGGGAAACCCUGAUGCAGCAACGCCACGUGUGGGAAGAAAGCAUUUCGGUGUGUAAACCACUGUCAUGAGGGAAUAAGGCCUGUCUUCGGGCAGGAUUGAAUGUACCUUGAGAGGAAGCACCGGCAAACUUCGUGCCAGCAGCCGC
rnacentral:rRNA from 1 species